GGAAAGGUGAAGCGGCUCCUUCUGUCUGUCUGGAUUUUGCACCCCGUGGUGGGACAAUUGGCUGGGUGCUUACUUCUCGGAAGCUAACAGGAGAGGGAGGCCAGAGGACCCAGAGCUGGCCCGAGAAGCAGACGUCCAUGUGGACAGGGGAAUGUCUGGUUGGGGUCUCCACAGCUGCUCUCAUGGAAGAUCGUCCAUCUGAACAAGCUUGCGGAGAGGGCAGCUGGGAGCCCGCUAAUCGAAACCCGACGGGUGUCUGCUGAGGCCAAGUCCUGUCGUGCUGGAAGCCCCGUGGCACCUGCCCAAGCGGGCAGGGGGCUCACAGGCUGGCUUUGUUCCCCUCCCUCUCAGGUGGCUGCUUCAGGUGGUGGCCACUUCAAAGAAGCCCCAUGGAAAGCGGGGCCUCGCCUCAAGUUUCCUAAGGGCCCUGUCCAGGCUAAUGAGAUCAUUAAGAGGCUCCUUGUUAAAUGGGUUUAAACAGAGUUUGCCUGUGUGGCCUCUGGCUCUGCCCUGGACCCUGGUUGCAGUAUUUAAAAAAAUUUUAAUGUAUGUGUGUUUGUAUAUGUGUACGUAUUUCACGAUGUGCUUGAGAAUGUGGGCUCUGGCCUCCGACUGCCGGGACUGAAUCCUGCCUCCCACUUUCUGGUAGUGUGACCUCAGGCCAGUUACCUACUACUCCUCAGUGCCUCGGUUUCCCCAUCUGUAAAAGGUGCCUAACCGUUGUACUGCUGAUUGGGACUGUAGAACGCUCCAGUGACUCCCCACUGCCCGCAGCAGAGUGUCCAAGUUUCUUAGAAUGGUCAGCCGUGGCCUCAUUCCUCACCAUGCCC
rnacentral:lncRNA from 1 species